GGAAGCCAUCAGCAGCGAUGAGUGCACUAGUUAUCAAUGCAUCACUGAAGUUAAGCAACGUUGCGAGUGGUUUCUAUCCGGAGGGGUGUCCGCCUGGACAAUCCCGCACCUCUGGCUUUUC
rnacentral:rRNA from 1 species